UGGCUUUGGCAGCGUGUACACUAAAAUUGGAGUAUACAGGGAUCAGCAUGGCCCCUGCGUAAGCAUGACAUGCAAAUUUGUAAAGUGUUCCACAUUACA
rnacentral:snRNA from 1 species